UACAGAGGUCUCAAGCGUUGUUCGGAUUCAUUGGGCGUAAAGGGUGCGUAGGUGGCGCUGUAAGUCAGGUGUGAAAUUUCGGAGCUUAACUCCGAAACUGCAUUUGAUACUGCGGUGCUCGAGGACUGGAGAGGAGACUGGAAUUUACGGUGUAGCAGUGAAAUGCGUAGAGAUCGUAAGGAAGACCAGUGGCGAAGGCGGGUCUCUGGACAGUUCCUGACACUGAGGCACGAAGGCCCAGGGGGAGCAAAACGGGG
rnacentral:rRNA from 1 species